rnacentral:rRNA from 1 species
AUGAACGCUGGCGGCGUACCUAACGCAUGUAAGUCGAACGGACCUUUUGUAGCAAUACGGAAGGUUAGUGGCAAACGGGUGAGUAACACGUAGGUGACCUACCCUGGAGUGGGGAAUAACGACCCGAAAGGGUCGCUAAUACCGCAUACGAUCAAUCACGGGCGAAAGCUCGUGCGAUGAAAGGUUCCUGCAAGGGAAAUCGCUCCGGGACGGGCCUGCGGCCCAUCAGGUAGUUGGUGAGGGUAAUAGCCCACCAAGCCGAUGACGGGUAGCUGAUCUGAGAGGAUGACCAGCCACACUGGCACUGAGACACGGGCCAGACUCCUACGGGAGGCAGCAGCGAGGAAUAUUGCGCAAUGGGCGAAAGCCAGACGCAGUAACGCCGCGUGAGGGACGAAGGCCUUCGGGUCGUAAACCUCCUUUCAUUGGGACGAGUGAGGACGGUACCUUUGGAAUAAGUCUCGGCUAACUACGUGCCAGCAGCCGCGGUAAAACGUAGGAGGCGAGCGUUAUCCGGAUUCACUGGGCGUAAAGCGCGUGGUAGGUGGUUCGUUAAGUUGAAUGUGAAAGGCCCCUGGCUCAACUGGGGGAGGCCGUUCAAAACUGGCGGACUUGAGGACAGGAGAGGAGAGUGGAAUUCCCGGUUGUAGCGGUGGAAUGCGUAGAGAUCGGGAGGAACACCAGUGGCGCAAGGCCGGCUCUCUCUGGCCUGUAUCUGACACUGAGACGCGAAAGCGUGGGAGUAGCAAACGGGAUUAGAUACCCCGGUAGGUCCACGCCCCUAAACGAUGAGGGCUAGGGUGUUAGGUGGGAUUUCCCAUCUGUGCCGUAGCAAACGCGUUAAGCCCCUCCGCCUGGGGGACUAUGAGCGCAAGCUUAAAACUCAAAGGAAUUGACGGGGGCCCGCACAAGCAGCGGAGCGUGCGGUUCAAUUCGAUGUGACACGAAGAACCUUACCAGGGUUUGACAUGCGCGUGGGUAGGGAAGAGGAAACCGGACCGACCCGCAAGGGAGCGCGUACAGGUGAUGCAUGGCUGUCGUCAGCUCGUGCCGUGAGGUGUUGGGGUUAAGUCCCGCAACGAGCGCACACCCUUGUCGCUAGUUACAUGUGUUUAGCGAGACUGCCGGAUUGUUUCCGGAGGAAGGCGGGGAUGACGUCAAGUCAGCAUGUCCUUUAUAUCCUGGGCAGACCACGCACGCUACAAUGGGUGUUACAAUGCGUUGCCAAGCCGUGAGGCGGAGCUAAUCGCACAAAAGCACCCUCAGUAUCAGAUUGCAUGGCUGCCAAACCGCCUGCAUGAAGUCGGAGUUGCUAGUAAACGCGCGUCAGCCAUAGUGCGUUGAAUACGUUCCCGGGCCUUGUACACACCGCCCGUCACGGUCAUGGAAGUCGGCAACACCUGAAGUCGGUGACUGACACACGCAAGGACAGAGCCGCCGAAGGUGUGGGCUGGUAUACUGGGACG